UUACGUCGGGGGUUAAAAAUCAACAAAAGUAAUUAGGUACUCGUUACCAAACUGCCACUUUUAGCAAACUAAAAUGGCGUCUCUUGUUUUUUUAGAUAAUGACAUUGGUUUUACUUUGAUGGAAGAGAUCCAGGACGCUGAAUUAAAGGAGUUAGUGCCAAGUCUAAAAGAAAGAAUUUUAUUCAAGAAAGGACUCUAAAAAUUACGCGGGAUUAUUUAUGAAACUGCGUCUGAAGAUACAGCUUCAAUAAGCGAUGAGUUGGUUUCACCAAGCUCGCCGUCAAGGACCAUUAGCUCCGGAAUGAGUUAACGGGGCACAGAGAAAUCUCAUAACCAGAGUGAAAUUAAAACCAAACUGGAGCAAUUCCAAAAAAUGCAUCUAGCCAGAGGAACCACUUUCCAACCGCUGGUGAUUGCUGUCGGACCAACGAGCAGGGACUUGCAACAUUUCUACGUAGCAGUUGAAUCAGUUCUCUACAAGGUAGACCAACUGCUAAAAGCUGUCGAUGUGUGCUUUAAAUUAUUUAAUACUUGUG